GCCUCUCGGUGCUGAAUAACUGGGUAACGUUCGAAGUGUCGGCCUUGUAAUCCGCUUGUCGUAGGUUCGAUUCCUACCGGGGGCACCA
rnacentral:tRNA from 1 species